CCGCGCCCAAAAGUCAGCCCCCGAAGGUCGGGGUCCCAAGACCCCCCAGCGGAAAAAUGGCCAAAAAACGGGUGGGCUAUAGCCUUGGUGGGGGGCGUGGGCGAAGUUCGUCCGCGGGACUCGGAAUGGCACCAUACUUGGCGGGCGGCCUCUGUGUGCCAAAAAUAGGCCACGGGCACAGCCGCGCACAAAAAUCAGCCCCCUAAGGUCGGGGUCCCAAGACCCCCCAGUGGAAAAAUGGCCAAAAAAUGGGUGGGCUAUAGCCUUGGUGGGGGGCGUGGGCGAACUUCGUCCGCGGGACUCGGAAUGGCCCCUGACUUGGCGGGCGGCCUCCGUGUGCCAAAAAUAGGCCACGGGCACAGCCGCGCCCAAAAAUCAGCCCCAGAAGGUCGGGGUCGCAAGACCCCCCAGCGGAAAAAUGGCCAAAAAACGGGUGGGCUAUAGCCUUGGUGGGCGGCGUGGGCGAAGUUCGUCCGCGGGACUCGGAAUGGCACCAUACUUGGCGGGCGGCCUCUGUGUGCCAAAAAUAGGCCACCGGCACAGCCGCGCGCAAAAAUAAGCCCCCGAAGGUCGGGGUCCCAAGACCCCCCAGCGGAAAAAUGGCCAAAAAAUGGGUGGGCUAUAGCCUUGGUGGGGGGCGUGGGCGAAGUUCGUCCGCGGGACUCGGAAUGGCACCAUACUUGGCGGGCGGCCUCUGUGUGCCAAAAAUAGGCCACGGGCACAGCCGCGCACAAAAAUCAGCCCCCGAAGGUCGGGGUCCCAAGACCCCCCAGUGGAAAAAUGGCCAAAAAAUGGGUGGGUAUAGCCUUGGUGGGGGGCGUGGGCGAACUUCGUCCGCGGGACUCGGAAUGGCCCCUGACUUGGCGGGCGGCCUCCGUGUGCCAAAAAUAGGCCACGGGCACAGCCGCGCACAAAAAUCAGCCCCCGAAGGUCGGGGUCCCAAGACCCCCCAGUGGAAAAAUGGCCAAAAAAUGGGUGGGCUAUAGCCUUGGUGGGGGGCGUGGGCGAACUUCGUCCGUGGGACUCGGAAUGGCCCCUGACUUGGUGGGCGGCCUCCGUGUGCCAAAAAUAGGCCACGGGCACACCCGCGCCCAAAAAUCAGCCCCCGAAGGUCGGGGUCCCAAGACCCCCCAGCGGAAAAAUGGCCAAAAAACGGGUGGGCUAUAGCCUUGGUGGGCGGCGUGGGCGAAGU
rnacentral:lncRNA from 1 species